ACAGAUAACUGAUACAGUAAAAGGGGACUAGAGCCCCUCCCGGAAGCCAAGCUGUACUAUGAUAGCCAGUACAAUUUAAAAUUGCUAAGCCACUGGAAACGUUUCUUAAUUAAAAUAUUGUUAUCCACACUUGGAAUACCGUAUGAUUCUGCAUGCUAAAUUGAGAAGAAGGAAACAAUGUGGGAGCUAGGAAAAGUCCAUGGCGAGGGGCGUGGGGGAGCAAGUUGUGACGUUUGAUGUUUUUAAUGUCCAGAAGAAAGGAUGCGCCUUUCAGCUAUGAUGCAGUCGGUUGUGACCGGAAACGCUGUGCUGUAGUGUUUGGGAAAGAUCACCGGAUCGCUUUUCUGAAGCACCUCUCUGGGUUUGAACUGCCAACCUUCCGGUUGGCAGCAGCAAACUUCAUGGUUUGCCCAAACCAGGGACUCCCAGAAAAAUGCGGUUUUCAGGGCUGUUUGGAAUCGCAUCAGCACAGCCUCCACUUCCGGGCUUGAGAAAUACUUCUCUUUGUGAUGUCCCAGAGGCACCUGAGACAGAGCCAAGAUCAGUUAGCUUCCAGCCCCGAGACCUACAGCCUCGCCUCACUGUGAUCCUUCCCUUCCGACACUCCCCCCCUUCCCAGAAUCCCUUCUUACCAUAUCUGGUUGCUGUCGACCCAGAUGCCAUGUGAUGGUCAUUUGAAGACAGGCCUGCUGUACAUCAGAUAAUUUAAGAAGCUGGAUUUGGGAGGAAGAUUCCCUGACCACUUGCAGUAUCCAGAUGACACGACUUUGCCCUGUUGAAAGUGAAGAGGACUUGCAACCCUUGUUGACAACGUUCAAGGACUACAGCCUUCAGGGUGGAGGACACGUCAACCCUUACAACUGGACCAGUCAGUGACAUCAUGGAAAGACGAAGGUUGCCAAAGAUUCCCUCUACCUGGGACCCAUGGAAGCAGCGGCUGAGGAAGCACCGGGCAUUGCAGUGGGAAGGCCUGCACAAAAGCUUUUCAAGGACUUUAUAGCGUCUGAAAGGAAAGGUGUCCCUUUGAUGACUAAGCUGCCUCUGACCCCAAGCCAUGGUAUUUUCCAUCACCACAUCCGCAUAAGCACAGGAGAGCCGAAUGGUGAACAAAAGAAGACUCUAGGAUUGACAACAGGGGUCCUCCACCUUCCUCACGCCGUGACCCUUUCCUACAGUUCCUCAUGUGGUGGUGACCCCCCAA